rnacentral:lncRNA from 1 species
AAUACCCCAAAACCUCAAUACCCCAAAACCCCAAAUUCAAAAGAAACAUCAUACCUGAAACGCAAUCUCGAAGGAAAAACAUCAGAAACUAGACACAAAUGAAUGGAAACCCGAAUCUAUGGAAAGAUCAAACCCCGAACAACGACGCGAACAAAUCGAGAGAGCAAGAAAGCAGAAAGCGGGGGAGGGGGGGUGGGGGAACUGAUUCAUAGAAACGGGAUAUGAUUGAAGGGGAGAAUUGAUUAAUGC